rnacentral:lncRNA from 1 species
GUAUUUGCUUAGUCUCAUUUCCUUGUCCUCUCUCUCUUCCUUUCUCCCUCUUUACAUAAAUAUAAAUGCAUGCAAGAAACAAAUAUCUGAAGAAUCUCUGACGAAAAUUUACUGAAAUUAACGAAUUAGAUUAUUAAUCUUUAUUAUUCCUAAUUUCGAGUUUGAAUUUAGAAAUGAAAGUAAAUAUCUCUCUUCUCAUAUUUUAAAUUUUACAAACAUUUGUUUGUUUUCUUAUUUAAUUCGAAGUCUUAAAAGUCGAGUAAUGUUUAUUCAUUAGUAUUCCUCGGAGGUUCUUCAAAGAACAACAUGAAGAGAAAGAGAGAGAGGUGAGGGGGAGGAGAGUUACAAAAGCGUACUUGCGAAUUCGCUGCGUUAUCGACGAACGAGGAGGAUGUUUGCGAUGCCGAGGUUGACGUCGAAGUUGAGUUACUCGAAUUAAUGGAGAUGCCGUGACAUCGUUUCUGACGAUGAAAUUUCGUCCUGCAUCGUCCAACUAUCAGAGAUGAAUGACCACUAGAUUUAUUGAAGAACACGAAGAAAAAAUAGAAGAAAUGGAAGAAAA